CCUACGGGAGGCAGCAGUGGGGAAUAUUGCACAAUGGGGGAAACCCUGAUGCAGCGACGCCGCGUGAGUGAAGAAGUAGUUCGGUACGUAAAGCUCUAUCAGCAGGGAAGAAAAUGACGGUACCGGACUAAGAAGCCGCGGCUAACUACGUGCCAGCAGCCGCGGUAAUACGUAGGGGGCAAGCGUUAUCCGGAUUUACUGGGUGAACAGGGAGCGUAGACGGCAGCGCAAGUCUGGAGUGAAAUCCCAGGGCUUAACCAUGGAACUGCUUUGGAAACGGUGCAGCUAGAGUGCAGGAGCGGUAAGCUGAAUUCCUCGUGUAGCGGUGUACUGCGUCGAUAUUAGGCGGACCCCCAGUGGCGAAGGCGGCUUACUGGACUGUAACUGCCGUUGCGGCUCGACAGCGUGGGGAGCAAACAGGAUUAGAUACCCGGGUAGUC
rnacentral:rRNA from 1 species